rnacentral:rRNA from 1 species
AAAAGGCUCACCAAGGCGACGAUCAGUAGCGGGUCUGAGAGGAUGAUCCGCCACACUGGGACUGAGACACGGCCCAGACUCCUACGGGAGGCAGCAGUGGGAAUUUUGGACAAUGGGCGCAAGCCUGAUCCAGCCAUGCCGCGUGUCUGAAGUAAGGCCUUCGGGUUGUAAAGGACUUUUGUCAGGGAGCAAAACUUACUGGUUAAUACCUGGUGAGGUUGAGAGUACCUGAAGAAUAAGCACCGGCUAACUACGUGCCAGCAGCCGCGGUAAUACGUAGGGUGCUAAGCGUUAAUCGGAAUUACUGGGCGUAAAGCGUGCGCAGGCGGACUUUUAAGCCAGAUGUGAAAGCCCCGAGCUUAACUUGGGAAUUGCGUUUGGAACUGGGAGUCUAGAGUCUGUCAGAGGGGGAUGGAAUUCCACGUGUAGCAGUGAAAUGCGUAGAGAUGUGGAGGAACACCGAUGGCGAAGGCAGUCCCCUGGGAUAAGACUGACGCUCAUGCACGAAAGCGUGGGG